GACCUCGGAUCAGGUAGGGAUACCCGCUGAACUUAAGCAUAUCAAUAAGCGGAGGAAAAGAAACCAACAGGGAUUGCCUCAGUAACGGCGAGUGAAGCGGCAACAGCUCAAAUUUGAAAUCUGGCCUUUGGGUCCGAGUUGUAAUUUGCAGAGGAUGCUUCGAGCAUGGUCUAGUCUAAGUUCCUUGGAAUAGGACGUCAUAGAGGGUGAGAAUCCCGUAUGCGACUGGGUGCCUAAGCUCAUGUGAAGCUCCUUCGACGAGUCGAGUUGUUUGGGAAUGCAGCUCAAAAUGGGUGGUAAAUUUCAUCUAAAGCUAAAUAUUGGCCAGAGACCGAUAGCGCACAAGUAGAGUGAUCGAAAGAUGAAAAGCACUUUGGAAAGAGAGUUAAAUAGCACGUGAAAUUGUUGAAAGGGAAGCGCUUGCAAUCAG
rnacentral:rRNA from 1 species